GAUAUCCAGGAGAGUGACAGUGGACUGGCCGUUAGUGGGAGGGCACGGGGCCAGGUCGGGGGACCAGGGUGUCCCACGGCGCUGGCUGCAGGGGGUCAGGCCCGUGAGCAGGUGGCCUUCACGUGUCAGCUGUAUCCGCUGUCUGCGCUGAGGCCCCGGGCCAGGCGGCAUGGUGAGCGACUUCCACCUCCUCCUAGGACACAGCCUGUUGACCAGCUCAGCGCAGGGAGUCUGGGGUUGCUGGAGGCUUGCAGGAAGCCGCGGCCCUCUGACCCAAACUGGCGAGGCAGUCGCGGGGGGCUGGGAGAAGCCCCGCCCAGGCAGCGUAGCCCACGUGGCGCCUGCCCUGAGCCCUGCCCACCCAGCACUGCUCCUGCUUCUGGGGAGGGCGGCCAGAGGCAGCUCCAGAGCCACACUCCCAGGGGCCCCGCUUCCCUGCAGGGAGCUGUGGGGAACAGGCCUGGCCUGGCAGGGCCCCCAUGGAGGGGAGUGGGCACAUCCAGACCCGAAGUGUGUCCCGCAGGCCCGCCCCAACACCUGGCCCCCCUGGUGCAGACCUGGACACCCAACCACCCCCUCCUGCUCCUGGGCCAUCCCCCCAACCCUGCGUUCCCUCCCCUGACCCCCUUCAGUGUUCCAGGAACUUGGGCUGGAGUGGAAGGGGCUCCCUCGUGGACCCCUCAUCACCUCCCCCCGCCAAGCGCUCACAGUGCAGCACACCUGUUGCAAAGUCCAAAUGGUGCAGCGAAGCGUCUGCACCCGCUGCUCGGGUCUGAGGGGUGGAAGCUGAGGCCCGUACACGUCACGCUGUCCCCACAAGGUGGCGCCACCACCCCCAAAGGAACCUGGGCCCAAGGAAGUUGUGUUGGGCUGGGGGCGCCGGCUGUCCCCACAGCAGGCCGUCCGGCAGGGCAGCAACGCCCUGCCCAGCUCCAUAGGCACAGCCUAGAAGGCUGGGGGUCCCCGCCUUCAGAGUCAAGGCCCUCUGGUCACUGCCCAGCAGCAGGCAAGGGGCUGUCACCAUUGACUGGGGGUCCCCAUGGGGCUGCUGACCUAACCCCACCUUCAUCAGGCCCCAGGAAGGAGACAGACAAGAAGGAAAAGAAAGGGCUUUAA
rnacentral:lncRNA from 1 species